rnacentral:rRNA from 1 species
GAUGAACGCUGGCUACAGGCCUAACACAUGCAAGUCGAGGGGCAGCGGGGGCAGAGCUUGCUCUGCCUGCCGGCGACCGGCGCACGGGUGCGUAACGCGUAUCGAACCUCCCCCAUGCUCGGGAAUAGCCUUGCGAAAGUAAGAUUAAUGCCCGAUGGUCUCAGAAUAUGACAUCAUGCUUUGAGUAAAGAUUCAUCGGUAUGGGAUGGCGAUGCGUCUGAUUAGAUAGUUGGCGGGGUAACGGCCCACCAAGUCGUCGAUCAGUAGGGGUCCUGAGAGGAAGGUCCCCCACAUUGGAACUGAGACACGGUCCAAACUCCUACGGGAGGCAGCAGUGAGGAAUAUUGGUCAAUGGUCGGAAGACUGAACCAGCCAAGUAGCGUGAAGGAUGACUGCCCUACGGGUUGUAAACUUCUUUUAUGCGGGAAUAAAGUGCCCCACGCGUGGGGUAUUGCAUGUACCGCGUGAAUAAGCAUCGGCUAAUUCCGUGCCAGCCGCCGCGGUAAAAC